rnacentral:rRNA from 1 species
AGAAUCAACGCUGGCGGCGUGCCUAACACAUGCAAGUCGCACGAGAAAGGGGAGCAAUCCCUGAGUACAGUGGCGCACGGGUGAGUAACACGUGAAUCAUCUACCUCCGAGUGGGGAAUAACUGAGAGAAAUCUUAGCUAAUACCGCAUAACACUUACGAGUCAAAGCAGCAAUGCGCUUGGAGAGGAGUUCGCGGCAGAUUAGUUAGUUGGCGGGGUAAUGGCCCACCAAGACGAUGAUCUGUAUCCGGCCUGAGAGGGCGCACGGACACACUGGAACUGAAACACGGUCCAGACUCCUACGGGAGGCAGCAGUGGGGAAUUUUGCGCAAUGGGGAAACCCUGACGCAGCAACGCCGCGUGGAGGAUGAAGCCCCUUGGGGUGUAAACUCCUUUCGAUCGGGAAGAUAAUGACGGUACCGAUAUAAGAAGCCCGGCUAACUUCGCGCCAGCAGCCGU